UACGUAGGGUGCAAGCGUUGUCCGGAAUUAUCGGGCGUAAAGAGCUCGUAGGCGGUUUGUUGCGUCGGCUGUGAAAUCCCGAGGCUCAACCUCGGGUCUGCAGUCGAUACGAGCAAACUAGAGUGUUGCAGGGGAGACUGGAACUCCUGGUGUAGCGGUGAAAUGCGCAGAUAUCAGGAGGAACACCGGUGGCGAAGGCGGGUCUCUGGGCAACAACUGACGCUGAGGAGCGAAAGCGUGGGGAGCGAACAGG
rnacentral:rRNA from 1 species